rnacentral:rRNA from 1 species
UGUAUUAUAUGAAUAAGGAUCGGCUAACUCCGUGCCAGCAGCCGCGGUAAUACGGAGGAUCCGAGCGUUAUCCGGAUUUAUUGGGUUUAAAGGGAGCGUAGGUGGACUGGUAAGUCAGUUGUGAAAGUUUGCGGCUCAACCGUAAAAUUGCAGUUGAUACUGUCAGUCUUGAGUACAGUAGAGGUGGGCGGAAUUCGUGGUGUAGCGGUGAAAUGCUUAGAUAUCACGAAGAACUCCGAUUGCGAAGGCAGCUCACUGGACUGCAACUGACACUGAUGCUCGAAAGUGUGGGUAUCAAACAGGAUUAGAUACCCUGGUAGUCCACACAGUAAACGAUGAAUACUCGCUGUUUGCGAUAUACAGUAAGCGGCCAAGCGAAAGCAUUAAGUAUUCCACCUGGGGA